GGGUGAGUAACACGUGAAUUACAUGCCCUUCAGGUGGGGAAUAGCCCAGCGAAACUUGGAUUAAUACCCCAUGGUAUCGCAAGAUUAAAGAGUGGCCGCAAGGCUGCCGCUGAAGGAUUGGUUCGCGCCCUAUCAGCUUGUUGGUGAGGUAACGGCUCACCAAGGCUACGACGGGUACCUGGUCUGAAAGGACGAUCAGGCACACUGGAACUGAGACACGGUCCAGACACCUACGGGUGGCAGCAGUCGAGAAUAAUUCACAAUGGGGGCAACCCUGAUGGUGCAACGCCGCGUGGAGGAUGACGGUCUUCGGAUUGUAAACUCCUGUCAUCUGGGAGAAAGACCUGGGACUUACUAGCUCACACGGGUUGAUACUACCAGAACAGGAAGGGACGGCUAACUUCGUGCCAGCAGCCGCGGUAAUACGAAGGUCCCAAGCGUUGUCCGGAAUCACUGGGC
rnacentral:rRNA from 1 species